GAGGGGCCGGGCCGGGGGGGGGGGGGGGGUGUCGGGAGCAGGCUGCGAGGGAGGGCGAACGGCAGGAGGGGGCGGGGACACCUGAUCAGGGCCACCGGAAAGGAAAAACAACUUCAGCCAAGCUAUUCAUCUUCCCAAAGGCGUUGCAGUCAGCUGGGGGAGGGGGAGGGGACGCCGGGGGUGCGGGGCAGCCAGGGCUUCCUGGGCUUGGAAAUGCUACUCCUUCAAUUCGCCCGUCAUUACGGUGCAGGAACGUGAACGUGGCUUUUUGCUUCGCCACCGACUGCGCUGUUGGUUUGGACCAGAGAAAGGAAAGAGAAAGAGAAUUCGCGUGCCACGGUAAAACAUUCACUGAGGCCCUUGCCGAGGACACCAUCUGUCCUGGGGUGAGGACGUGUUUCUGAUGGCACAGCAGAAGCCUUCUGCCCUCCAAGCUCCUGGCUCUCCCACAGCCCUCUUGCAACCAGAGAACUUGGUAAGAUUAAGGAUGUAGUUGAAAAAAGUUGGUGAAUUUCUAUUUCAUCUUCUUUCUCCACUUCUUCUCCUGGAGGUGUGAACAAAUAAUGAAACUGCUAAAAAAGAAAGGCAGCAGGCAAGAAGGAGGCCGCACAAUUGGCCCUUGAAG
rnacentral:lncRNA from 1 species